rnacentral:lncRNA from 1 species
UUUCUUCUUUCUUUCUUUCUUUCUUUCUUUCUUUCUUUUUUUUUUUUGAGACAGGGUUUCUCUGUGUAGUCUUGGCUAGCCUGGAACUCACUUUGUAGACCAGGCUGGCCUCGUCCACCUGUCUCUGCCUCCCAAGUGCUGGGAUUAAAGGCGUGCGCCACCACGCUCAGCAGAUUUACUUAUUAUUAUAUGUAAGUAUGAUGUAGCUGUCUUUAGACACACCAGAAGAGGGUGUCAGGUCUCAUUAUGGAUGGUUGUGAGCCACGGUUGCUGGGAAUUGAACUCAGGACUUUCAGAAGAGCAGUCAGUGCUCUUAACUGCUGAGCCAUCUCUCCAGUCCAGAGGUCACCCUUUCUUAUGACAGCGUUAAGGCAGAGGAAUCUGCCAGGCAGUGGUGGCGCACGGCUUUAAUCCCAGCACUUGGGAGGCAGAGACAGGUGGAUUUCUGAGUUCGAGGCCAGCCUGGUCUACAAAGUGAGUUCCAGGACAGCCAGGGCUACACAGAGAAACCCUAUCUCGGGGAAAAAGAAAAAAAAAAGGCAGAGGAAUCUUCAUUAACUGUUAAAUCUCUCUAAUCUAUUUCUCAGACAGUCAGAAAGACAAUUUAGUUUCCUUUUGGUUAAAUGGGGGCUUAAUAUGAGUGCCUGAUCUUGAUUUUUCUGUUUGGGUCUAAUUCAGGAGCUUAGCUCACAACAAGAGGUUCUUGUGAAUUUGAUUUUAAAAUGCCCCCCUUUUGUUCAAACUGGUGAAUUGUCUCACCUUUCAUUGUUGGUCAAGUUCUUAGCUACCAUCAUUUGGAGGUGAAUGGCUCUCAAAGUUUAGGUGUAAACUUCCUGGUUUUAGAGUAUUUCAUGUCUUUUUUAAAAGAGAAGGUCUCAUCUGUGUAGCCCUGGCUGUCCUGGAAAUCACUAUGUAAACCAGUCUAGACUUGAACUCACAGAAGUCUGUCUGUCUUUGCCUCCCAAGUGCUGGGAAUAAAGGCUUGUGCCACCAAGGCCAGCUUUCAUUAUAUUUGCUCUUUGACUGAUAAUAAUAUGUGUCAUUGGAAUAUUAACAGAACAUGCAAGUUGCACUUAUAGCAAUCUGUUAGUAAUUGUGUUUUUAUAUCUGAAAUUGUGUAUGUGUGUGUGUUUUGAGACAGUGUCCCACUCUGUAGUCCAGGCUGGCCUGGAACUCAUAGUUAAACUUUUGUCUCAGUCUCUCAAGUGUACAAGGCACCACACUCAACGAUUAUAUUUGCCUUCCUUGGCUAUCCUUUUUAUUUGUGAAACAAGGUAUCCUUUAGCUCAGGCUGUAUUAGAAGGUGCUGUGUAGCAGGAGCUGCUUUGAAGCUUCAGGUCCUCCUGCUUCCACAUCCCAACUGCUAGCAUUGCAAGUGUGCGCCACUCCGCUCAGCUUCAGCUCUCUUCCAGUGUUCAUAGCUGUGUAGAAUCACAAGUAGGGAUUACAGUCAAACUGUUAAAAACUACCAAUGGUGGUGCUACUUACCACACAAAGCCCAGGCUUCUCAGAAAACGUCUGUGGGAGCCCAGACCAGCAAGUCCGAGCUGAAUGCUGGCCAUAGUUUUAGGUAUAUUUUGUUUCAAAACUUGGGUGUGAAUUUUUGUAUUCAUACUUCUCAAUGAGUAUGUUUAUACUAAUCUUUAGUUGCUAUUACUAGCAUAUGAUAUGUCUACUUAUUAUCAAUUUACUGUAUAGAAAAUACAUUUGGUAGUCAUGGGCUGGCUCAGUGGGUAAAGACACUUGCCAUGUGAACCUAAAGACCUGAGCUUGAUCCCCAGAGCUCACAUAACUAACCCCACCAAAUUGCUGUCUGACCAAGCAUCUUUCAUCCCAUACAUACAACCACAUACACAUUAUAAAUGCACACAAUAAUAAAUAAAACUUUGGGGGACGGUUCAAGACAGGGUUUCUCUGGAUAGCCCUGGCUGUUCUGGAAACUCACUCUGUAGACCAGGCUGGCCUAGAACUCAGAAAUCCACCUGCCUCUGCCUCCCAAGUGCUGACAUUAAAGGUAUGCGCCGCCACUGCCUGAUCUAAAUAAAACUUUAAAAG